CAGCGAUUGCAGCGGCAUCCUUUGCUGCAGCGUUAGCGAAGGCAAAGAUAUAGCGGAAAGCGCGGCGGCUU
rnacentral:sRNA from 1 species